GCACUUUUUUCUAUGAUAUAAUUAGUAGAAGGAAAAAUAGUCAGUGGUGAAACAAAACGACAUGUGAUAAAGAGCAGGCUAUACCGACUGACUAUGCGCGUUAUGAAAACAAUAAACAGGUGUAUUAUAUGCCAGGCAGACUAGUAAAAUGGUGAGCAUAACAUCUGAUUAACUAGGUGAAUAUUAAAAACAAGAAUAAACAAUCAGAUUGUAUGCUAGACAGAUCAGGAAAACAUUUAAGCAUUGCAGUUAGGCCACCAAUACCCCAUACUCCCUGUCGUGAUUGCCCUGUAGUGGAGGUUGUGCCAGACGCUGGUGCGAUUUCUCUCAAAAACUGGUAAAUAUCUUGUCCAGGCGUUGUAGGGCAGUGUCCACAUAGUUACCGCUUAGUUGCUGAGGUGUGGGCCCUGAGGACCGGGGCCAGCCCGCCAUUUUGUUGGGCCUGGCGUUCUCUGGGCUGGCGUCGUGAUGGGCGACAGGAUGCAAAGUAGCCAUGUGCUUUGAGUCGGUGGAGACUGGGAUAACCUCCGCCGGGGAUCCACACUGGCGUGUACAGCAAGAUACAGCGGUCGGGGAGCGGCCGUCUCCCACGCGCCGUCCAUGCUGAUAGGCCGCGAGAUCAGAUUAGGUGAGGCUGGUGAGUAACCCCGCUUAUGUGGUACCCUCGUGUAGGUCUCC